rnacentral:ncRNA from 1 species
GAACGCCCGGUCUGUCGGUGAAAAGCGAUGCGAGACCGGCGCGAAACGCUCUCAGUAAUCCUCCGCACUCCGGUCCGCUUAGCACGGAGUCCGAGAGUGGCAGAGCUCCGUAAAUUCGGAGUUCGCUAUUCGACCACAUGCUCGGAAGGAGGAGAUCAUGGCCGGGCCGGCCUGGGCUGCCGAAGCUCAGCAGCUCUGAAGUCCUUUGUGUAAGUCGCGCCGCCUUUUGGCGAGAGGAGCCAUACGAAAGCGGAUGGCCGGCAAAAGCUCCCAGCGCGCGAGUUGAGAGGCUAAACCGAGGUCAGCGGGCGUUC